CAAAAUAUAGCUAAAAUAGUAAAGCAUCUCCCUUACACUGAGAAGAUAUCCGCGCAAUUCGGAUUAUUUUGA
rnacentral:tRNA from 1 species